GACAGAGGGUGCAAACGUUGUUCGGAAUUACUGGGCGUAAAGCGCGAGUAGGCGGCUAUGCAAGUCGGAUGUGAAAACUCUGGGCUCAACCCAGAGACGCCACCCGAUACUGCUGUGACUUGAGUACGGUAGGGGAGUGGGGAAUUCCUGGUGUAGCGGUGAAAUGCGCAGAUAUCAGGAGGAACACCAGUGGCGAAGGCGCCACUCUGGGCCGUAACUGACGCUGAGGAGCGAAAGCGUGGGUAGCAAACAGG
rnacentral:rRNA from 1 species